rnacentral:lncRNA from 1 species
UCUAAAGCUUCAAGAUGACUGGGAUUUGAUAUUCUCUUUGACAUUGUACGACAGUGAAUCAAUCUGUGAGCCGGAACCAGAUGCUCUCGAUGAGGGCGAAACUACAUAUCUAUGCACGUCCCCUAUCAAGGUAGCUUUCUUUGUGAUUUUGGUUUAUAAUCUAAUUCUGCAUAUUUAAUCCACAAUAAUUUAUAUCUUGUUGCAUGGACAAGCGUCGUGCAUUCGUAAGCCCUCAAACUACAAACUGCAACGACGUCGUUUAUUGUUUCGAUCAAACCCUUCUCCGAGGUUGCCUCUCUCUCUACACCUUCCAUUCUAUUCCCGUGAGUAUAUUCCGAUGCAUGCUACGCUUGGAUAGUUAUUUUUUCUGGGUAUUCUGUUUCACACUUUUGCUAAGCUUUCCCCAAUCUGCUUUUUUUCUGUAGUAUUACGCCAAGUUUCUAGCUUUGUGGAAUCUUUAGAAUUCAAGUGUUUCUUUUUAAAGAUAAGUUUAGAUUUUAAGUGUUAAUGCGUCAGAAUUUUUAGCAAUAUUGUUUCAUAUAUUAUGGUUUUAUUUUUGCCUAAAAUAUCUAUCAUGGUACUCUGUAUCUUCUGCUAUUGGCUUCUGCUAUGCUUCAUAUAUCAAUGGAUGUGCAUUUAUGGAACUUGAUUUACUUGAAAUUAGUAAGCUAUAUAGUUUUAACCAUCUUUCACGGAUUAUUUCAGCAACAUUCAACAUAACCUUCGUUUGUUUUUUACUGAGCGUGGAAUAUUUGGUUAAUUUGUUCUUCUCCCAUAGCCACUGAACCCUCUGAAGCUCUUGCUAUCAUAUCGUUAUUCUCUACUGCAGUUGCUAAUGCAGUGACCAUACCCACUCUGCUGCUAUUUCUCUCCCGCCUCUCUUGGAAAUAUCUCAUGCAAGCGCCGUGCAUUCAUAUUAGGUAAGCUUAUACACUACUCUACUGCAAUAUUGGAAAUCCUCAAUCCCUUUUUUCCGUGAGGUGAGGAUGAUGCAUCACCAUGUGAGAUAUCAGUAGAUUUUUUAUUUAUGAUUAUUCUAAACAUCUUAAGUUCUGAUUUUCCUGGUCCUAGCUUGCUUUAUGUGACC